rnacentral:lncRNA from 1 species
CCAAAAAUUACCACAAAAUUUGCAUCUCAACACACACUUAUCUUAGAAAAUGAACAUGGGUCAAUAAUCAGGGCAUGAGCUAUUUUGAUUGUUUUAAGAACAUCUGGUGAAUGGUCAUUUAUUCAGGAAAAAAAUCUAGUUAACAUCAGAAAGAAACUCAAAAGUCUACACAGCUGAGUCAUGGCUUGCUCACUUCUCAAGAUCUGCUCAUUACAUGUAGACUCUCAGGAAUUUCCUCAUCCCCAAUACCUAAUCUGUGACUGCCAGUGACCCAGGAAGUGUUUCUCAUCUCAGUCACACAGCCCUGUGUUGCAGAGGCUUUGUUCAAGGUAUCAGUAAUAGGAGCCCAAAUUCUCCAUCUUGGGGGACCCACUCAGGAUCAAAGGCUGUGCCCCAUGCACAGCAGAUAGAGAAUGUGAAAGGCACAUAUGAGGGACACAAUGAGAAGCCCAAGGCUUCCUGCCUCUCCUUCCUCUAAGCCCACUAGAGAAGAUCUCAGCACCAGGUCUGUGGAAAAUGCUGAGAGAUCAGAGAGAAGAAGGAACAAGCAAAAGCCACGUUUACCUCAAUAGCUUCCCAGCUGAAAAGAGGAGUCCUCAUCCAGUGGCUGAUGGAAGCAGAGACAGACAUCCACAGAAAUACACUGAGCUGAAAUCUGGAACCUAGUUGAAGAGAGGGAGGAAUAAAGAACGAAGGGGUCUGUACCAGGUUGGAGAAACCCACAGAAACAGUUGGCCUGAAAAAGGUUGAAGGCCCAGGACUAAAGAAGUCAUGCAGACAAGUUGAAGAUUGGCACCAUGAGGAGAGUUUAUGAGAUGCUAUUAAUGAAGUGUAGCCCAGUUACAGCAGAAGACCAUCACAUUUUGGAGAUGACAGUACCACAGGAUGACCACCAAGAACAGCAGCAGCCGUGGAUUAGAGCCAUCAAGAGCCUAGAAACUGUUCAUCCUGCAGAGAGUGGAGCCAUAGAAGUGACCCAAGCCCUUUGGAAGAGUCCAGAAGAUGGUCUCCUAACUCCAGGAUCCUGCCUCUUGAGUUCCUGUCCUGUCCUCCUCCAGUGAUGAACAGCAAUGUGAAAAGUUGUGGAUUACAGCCGCAUGUAUGGACCUUCACAUCUGAAAAACACUGCUGUGGAGCCACCUUGCAUCCUUGUUCUUUCUAGGAAAGUAGCUGAACUUCAGCUAUAUAUUUUAUUGUCUACAAUAAAUGCCACACACC